GAUGAACGCUGGCGGCGUGCCUAAUACAUGCAAGUCGAGCGAACAGACGAGGAGCUUGCUCCUCUGACGUUAGCGGCGGACGGGUGAGUAACACGUGGAUAACCUACCUAUAAGACUGGGAUAACUUCGGGAAACCGGAGCUAAUACCGGAUAAUAUAUUGAACCGCAUGGUUCAAUAGUGAAAGACGGAUUUGCUGUCACUUAUAGAUGGAUCCGCGCCGGAUUAGCUAGUUGGUAAGGUAACGGCUUACCAAGGCAACGAUGCGUAGCCGACCUGAGAGGGUGAUCAGCCACACUGGAACUGAGACACGGUCCAGACUCCUACGGGAGGCAGCAGUAGGGAAUCUUCCGCAAUGGGCGAAAGCCUGACGGAGCAACGCCGCGUGAGUGAUGAAGGUCUUCGGAUCGUAAAACUCUGUUAUUAGGGAAGAACAAAAGUGUAAGUAACUAUGCACGUCUUGACGGUACCUAAUCAGAAAGCCACGGCUAACUACGUG
rnacentral:rRNA from 1 species